CAGUCGCCGCGGGAAUACGUAGGGCGCAAGCGUUGUCCGGAAUUAUUGGGCGUAAAGAGCUCGUAGGCGGUCUGUCGCGUCUGGUGUGAAAUCCCGAGGCUCAACCUCGGGCUUGCAUCGGGUACGGGCAGACUAGAGUGCGGUAGGGGAGACUGGAAUUCCUGGUGUAGCGGUGGAAUGCGCAGAUAUCAGGAGGAACACCGAUGGCGAAGGCAGGUCUCUGGGCCGCAACUGACGCUGAGGAGCGAAAGCAUGGGGAGCGAACAGGAUUAGAUACCCCCAGUAGUCCCUGUCUCUUAUA
rnacentral:rRNA from 1 species